rnacentral:lncRNA from 1 species
AUUAUAAAUAUUUUUGGGUCUUUAUUGUUUGUCAAAAGAAUAUAAUAGUAAGAGGGUGAAUACAGAGAUUGUUCACUAUUUCGUAUUUAAUUGCAAAAGCAAGGUUUUCGCGAAAGAAGUGACCACAAUCACAAAAACAAAGAUGUCCAAAAUUCACUACAUGAAAUUGCCGUUGAUUUAUUCGAUCUUUAUGGUUGUAAUUCCAUCAAAUUCAAGUUUCUUCAAGACUUCCAGGUAUUCUUUGCCUGAAGGAUCCCGCCAUCGAUGUAAAAAUUCUACUUGGGACACCGGGUGGCUACAUCAUCCAUUUUUCUUUGUCUAGAUUUUCGUGCAUAUAUAAAAGACCAUGAAUCUAACCUCACUACCAUUACGGAAUAAUUAUCAAUUGGGCCUGUAAAAGAAAUUAGUUCAACUGAACAUUAAACCACAAAUUAGGAAUGAACUAGUUCAUGUGAUAUAUACAAAUACAGAUUGUAAAAACUAGUUCAUCUAAAUGAAUACAACUACAACAUCAAAAUCUAGUUUCAUCUAUGCAAGAACUAAUUCAUCUAAAUACUAAACCACCAACAUUGCACGAACUAUUUUAUACUCCGACACCUAUGAAAGGAUUAGUAACCACCUCACAUACGAAUAUUAUUUCAUAAACGAGGUUAGAGAAAUAUGGGUUCUUUGAUAAAAAACACCUUCAAUCAUCAUAAUUGAAAAAAAAAACCCCAAUAUUACACAAUCUAGUUCAUGUAAACCACCAUCUCGAUAAAAGAACUAGUUCUUCUGAACACUAAACCAACAAUAUUACAAGAACGAAUUCAAAGAAAUUAAUUCAUCGAAAUCAAAAGAUAAAAUUUGUCGAAAUCAAAAUCAAAAGGAAUCCAAAUGAAUCAGAACAAGACAGAUUAGUACACCCACAAAUCAAAACAAAAAACUAUCGACAAACAAACAUGUUAAUGAACAACUCGUACUCGGAAACUGCUUUUGUCGCCGGCAGCCACUCAAAUCCACCACGGCUGGACCUAGAUUGAAAAUUAGGGUAGGAUAAUUACAUGAAUAAGUGUAGAGAAAUCGAGUUUUAAUAUAACCGUACAAAUCAAACCUGACGACCUGUACUCCAGCUGACCGCCGACGAGUAAAGAAGCACUCACUACCGAUGCCGUUUCAACCUCCCGUAGUUGCAACCUAUCGCAGACACAAAAAUAGGCCACAAAACAAAAACUAUUUCAAUUAAAUAACAAAAAUAAGUAUCCACUCACCGCCGAACUCGCCAUCGGUAUUGAAACAACCUCAUGGCGACGAAAUCACUGUGGGAGUGAUGAACUCGGCCGGAAAACUACUGCUUUUUUGGCCUCAUGAUGAUUUGGGGUAGAGGGAGACCAAUUUUGAGAAAAACGGCAGAAUUGGUGAAUGAAGGAGAAUGGUAGGGUUAUACGGUUUUGAAAUCUAUUUAAUAUAAUUAAUAUUAGCCAUUAGAUAUAUUUUGCUAAAAUCCAACGGUUACUAUGCAAUUAUCUAGAUAUAUAGGUAAUCCCCGUACUGGUUUAUUACCCUUGAAGUUGUUGAAUAUGAAUUGCUUUAAUUGCUUGGUUAUUGUUAAGUAAUGGAAGCUUAAAUGAGUUGUUG